rnacentral:rRNA from 1 species
AAUGUAUUGGAACGUGCCCAGUCGUGGGGGAUAACUAUCCGAAAGGAUAGCUAAUACCGCAUACGUCCUGAGGGAGAAAGCGGGGGACCCCAAGGGUAACUGAGGGGCCUCGCGCGAUUGGAGCGGCCGAUAUCGGAUUAGCUAGUUGGUGGGGUAAAGGCUCACCAAGGCGACGAUCCGUAGCGGGUCUGAGAGGACGACCCGCCGCACUGGAACUGAGACACGGUCCAGACUCCUACGGGAGGCAGCAGUGGGGAAUUUUGGACAAUGGGCGCAAGCCUGAUCCAGCCAUUCCGCGUGAGUGAAGAAGGCCUUCGGGUUGUAAAGCUCUUUCAGCGGGAACGAAACGGUCGAUCCUAAUACGGUCGGCUAAUGACGGUACCUGCAGAAGAAGCACCGGCUAACUACGUGCCAGCAGCCGCGGUAAUACGUAGGGUGCGAGCGUUAAUCGGAAUUACUGGGCGUAAAGCGUGCGCAGGCGGUGGCAUAGGACAGAUGUGAAAUCCCCGGGCUCAACCUGGGAACUGCGUUUGUGACUGUGUCGCUCGAGUGUAGCAGAGGGGGGUGGAAUUCCACGUGUAGCAGUGAAAUGCGUAGAGAUGUGGAGGAACACCGAUGGCGAAGGCAGCCCCCUGGGUUAACACUGACGCUCAUGCGCGAAAGCGUGGGGAGCAAACAGGAUUAGAUACCCUGGUAGUCCACGCCCUAAACGAUGCCAACUAGGUGUUGGGGAAGGAGACUUCCUUAGUGCCGUAGCUAACGCGUGAAGUUGGCCGCCUGGGGAGUACGGUCGCAAGAUUAAAACUCAAAGGAAUUGACGGGGACCCGCACAAGCGGUGGAUGAUGUGGAUUAAUUCGAUGCAACGCGAAAAACCUUACCUACCCUUGACAUGUCCGGAAUCCUGGAGAGAUUUGGGAGCGCUCGCAAGAGAACCGGAACACAGGUGCUG